rnacentral:sRNA from 1 species
UUGACAUUCUGACCGUGAAGGCAUACUUUCAGGAGUGAGGGUAGAGCGGGGUUUCCCCGCCCUGGUAGUCUUAGUAAGCUGGGUAGCUAACGACUAAGAGCACCACGAUGAUGAUCCACUUCAUCAUGACCCUUUCCUUAU